UCCCAAACCCAUGUGAACUUAUCUCUUUGUUGCCUCGGCGCAAGCUACCCGGGACCUCGCGCCCCGGGCGGCCCGCCGGCGGACAAACCAAACUCUGUUAUCUUCGUUGAUUAUCUGAGUGUCUUAUUUAAUAAGUCAAAACUUUCAACAACGGAUCUCUUGGUUCUGGCAUCGAUGAAGAACGCAGCGAAAUGCGAUAAGUAAUGUGAAUUGCAGAAUUCAGUGAAUCAUCGAAUCUUUGAACGCACAUUGCGCCCAUUAGUAUUCUAGUGGGCAUGCCUGUUCGAGCGUCAUUUCAACCCCUAAGCACAGCUUAUUGUUGGGAAUCCACGCCUGUGGUUCCUCAAAGACAUUGGCGGAGUGGCAGUAGUCCUCUGAGCGUAGUAAUUCUUUAUCUCGCUUUUGUUAGGUGCUGCCCCCCCGGCCGUAAAACCCCCAAUUUUUUCUGGUUGACCUCGGAUCAGGU
rnacentral:rRNA from 1 species